CUCUUUUUGGUUUUGUGGAUAACUUUGCUGCAAACUAUGCUCUGAAGAGAGUUUAUUAUGUCAACUAUGCAUUGGGGAUAUCUGGACGCAGGAAACCUUGCUGGCAUCUAUUAUGAACAAAGUCAACUUGACAUGGCAAUUCUGCAUUACAAGCAAGCUAUCAACUGUGAUUCUACCUUUAUUGAAGCUUACAAUAAUCUGGGGAAUGCUCUCAAAGACGCUGGGCAUGCUCUCAAAGACGCUGGACAUUAUAGGAUGACUUUUUAAUUUGGAUAUUUUUAUUCUCUUAAGUUUUUUUUCCUUGUUGAAUAACUUCAUUUUAAUAAUUUUUCCCAAGUCAUGCUUUGCUUUACAACCUAACCAUCCACAAGCAUUGUCAAGCCUUAGCAGCAUAUACAUGGAUUGCAACAUGAUGAGUGUUCCUGCAUCAUUCUAUAAGGCAACUUUAGCAGUUACAACAGGGAUAUAUGAGCCCUUCAACAACUUGGC